rnacentral:rRNA from 1 species
GAUGAACGCUAGCGGCAGGCUUAACACAUGCAAGUCGAGGGGUAACAGGGAUUGCUUGCAAUCCCGCUGACGACCGGCGCACGGGUGCGUAACGCGUAUGCAACCUACCUUCUACAGGGGGAUAGUCAAUAGAAAUGUUGAAUAAUACCCCAUACGAUCAUGAAUUGGCAUCAAUUUAUGAGGAAAGUUCCGGCGGUAGAAGAUGGGCAUGCGUCCUAUUAGUUAGUUGGUAAGGUAACGGCUUACCAAGACAUCGAUAGGUAGGGGUCCUGAGAGGGAGAUCCCCCACACUGGUACUGAGACACGGACCAGACUCCUACGGGAGGCAGCAGUGAGGAAUAUUGGACAAUGGAGGCAACUCUGAUCCAGCCAUGCCGCGUGCAGGAAGACGGCCCUACGGGUUGUAAACUGCUUUUAUACAGGAAGAAACGCCGCUACGUGUAGCGGUUUGACGGUACUGUACGAAUAAGGAUCGGCUAACUCCGUG